GACGAACGCUGGCGGCGUGCCUAAUACAUGCAAGUCGAGCGAAGUUUUUCUGGUGCUUGCACCGGAAAAACUUAGCGGCGAACGGGUGAGUAACACGUAAAGAACCUGCCUCAUAGACUGGGACAACUAUUGGAAACGAUAGCUAAUACCGGAUAACAGCAUUAACUGCAUGGUUGAUGUUUAAAAGUUGGUUUUGCUAACACUAUGAGAUGGCUUUGCGGUGCAUUAGCUAGUUGGUGCGGUAAAGGCCUACCAAGGCGACGAUGCAUAGCCGACCUGAGAGGGUGAUCGGCCACACUGGGACUGAGACACGGCCCAGACUCCUACGGGAGGCAGCAGUAGGGAAUCUUCCGCAAUGGGCGAAAGCCUGACGGAGCAACGCCGCGUGAGUGAAGAAGGAUUUCGGUUCGUAAAGCUCUGUUGUUAGGGAAGAAUGAUUGUGUAGUAACUAUACACAGUAGAGACGGUACCUAACCAGAAAGCCACGGCUAACUACGUG
rnacentral:rRNA from 1 species